GGGGAUGUAAAGGUUUCGACGGGGUAUUGAAGCCACGAAGUUCGCAGGCCAAUGGUCAUGAACGCCUGAAGCUUGACCGCUAAAUUCAACUGACGAAGCUGAAUACGCUUACGCUGCCUGAGCCUAGCUCAGAUAGCCCCUCUGGAAGUACGAACCGUCAGCCAACCCGGAGGUUUUAAAUAAAGACGGCAGUUUCCUGUUUUGUAAAAACAGGUGGUGGAGAACUCUGAAUCCCAGAGUUCCGCUCCUAUGAUGCCCGCAUUCUCGGGCUAUUGCGAUAAUGCUUUGUGAUGUGGAUGUAUUUCGGACAGGAGUUCGAUUCUCCUCAUCUCCACCA
rfam:Mitsuokella multacida DSM 20544 genomic scaffold Scfld1, whole genome shotgun sequence.